CUGCCGGGAGGCCCUGCUCCCAGCGACAGGGGCUCACGUCUUCCCCGCUUUGCCCCGGGUCCUGCGGCCCUGUCCCGGCUCGGCUGCCUCCCCAUCAAACCCGCUAAAACCAGAGCGAGGCGAAGCCCUCCGGCUGCGCGCUGUGCCCUGCAGACCGUGGCACCCGGUAAAACACCAAUGAAGGUGUUGCAGGGAGUGAGGGUGGAACCACAGAGCUGAAAAUACUCUCUUUUUUUCUUUUUUUUUCUCCCCUCAUUUUUGCAGACCGGCCCGUGGCCCCGGCAGCCCCCGGCGUGGUGCUGGGGGUGGGACGGGCGAGGGGAGCAGGAGCUGUGCCGGGACCCCCCAGCCCUGCCGGCAGAACCAGCUUGUAACUUCAUUUCCCCCCUAUUUAUUUACGGAUCGUCCAGAAGCAACUUUGUGCUGGGCAGCAGCACCCGCGGAGGUUUUCGUGCUCUCUGCAAGGACUUUUCACCCGGGGCACGGUCCUUUCCCUCAUCCUGUGGGGCUGCAGCAUCGCUCCCCGCCCCGGCUCGACGAGAGGCACCGUGCCGAUGCCGUGACCCAGUGUUUCUCGCCAAGUAGCCGCGGUGCCUGGGAGACACACCUCGGCCACCCGCCUUUGCCAUCUGCAGAGGGAGUACGUUUGGCAUCGGGAAGAACAAACAAAUAACCAAGGACAUGCAGGAGCAGCGUGCGGAGUGAAGCUGUUGUUUUACCCUGUCUGGGUCGGUGGUGCCCAUCGCAGGGGAAGCGUGCCCUUGCCCCAGCUUAAUUAAAUGAUGCUACCGGCCAGUAAUGGGCAGGAGAAACCCGCUGGUGCUACAGUACCUUGUGUGUCAUCAGCAAAACAAUGUUUUUAGAAAUAUUAGCAGCAGCAGAAGCUAAGAAAGUUCCUGGAUUUCUGCUGCCCUUUGUCUGGAGGAGGCUGUUCCAGCGCGGGUCUCCCUGCAGAGGGACCGGCGGGGAGGUACGUCGUCGACUGACUGUGCUGUGAAACCUUUGCUGCUUUGAAGAGCCCCCAGUGACUGAAGCACAUAUUAAAAAUAACAUAAUUGUCAGCCAAUUAUACAGUUUAAAACUAAAAAGCCAACCUUUGGUGACAGUACGUUUUUCAGAAGUGCAGGAACCUGGUCUAUUAGAAAUUAGCCAAUUAAAAAGACUCAAUAUGGCAUAAAUAAAGCUCUCCUCCUCAAGUCUGGGGAAAGUAUGCACCAAAAAAAUUCGGUAACUGCUGCUUCCGUUACCCGUGCCCUUUCCUGCCACGUGGAAAUGCCACCUCUGGCUGGAGGGAGCCGACCUGUGCCCGCGGGAGCCCUGGCAGCAGGGACGGGGAUGGCGGUGCUGGCACUCACUGUCAA